rnacentral:lncRNA from 1 species
AAUAUGAUUGACAUCAGAGGACGUGGUCUCGAUAACUUUUUUGUAGAACGUGCUCAAGAGGUUUGCCUAGAAGCAGCCACCCUUGAAAGAGUGCGUAAUAGCUCAUUGAUCGAGCACUCUUGCGCUGAAGAUGAAUAGGGCUAAGCGAUCUGUCGAAACUGUUGGAUGUAAAGACACAUCGGUAGGGGAGCGUUCCGCCUUAGAAGGAAGCCCCUGCGCGAGCAGUGGUGGACGAAGCGAAAGCGAGAAUGUCGGCUUGAGUAACACAAACAUUGGUGAGAAUCCAAUGCCCAUUUCUUUCCCGUAUUUCAAAUACUUCGUACAGUGCACAAUAAAUUAUUGGG